GGGCCGCACAAGCGGGCGGAGCAUGCGGAUUAAUUCGAUGCAACGCGAAGAACCUUACCAAGGCUUGACAUAUACGAGAACGCCGCAGAAAUGUGGAACUCUUUGGACACUCGUAUACAGGUGGUGCAUGGUUGUCGUCAGCUCGUGUCGUGAGAUGUUGGGUUAAGUCCCGCAACGAGCGCAACCCUCGUCGUAUGUUGCCAGCACGUAAUGGUGGGAACUCAUAUGAGACUGCCGGGGUCAACUCGGAGGAAGGUGGGGAUGACGUCAAAUCAUCAUGCCCCUUAUGUCUUGGGCUUCACGCAUGCUACAAUGGCCGGUACAAAGGGCUGCGAUGUCGUAAGGCGGAGCGAAUCCCAAAAAGCCGGUCUCAGUUCGGAUUGAGGUCUGCAACUCGACCUCAUGAAGUCGGAGUCGCUAGUAAUCGCAGAUCAGCAACGCUGCGGUGAAUACGUUCCCGGGCCUUGUACACACCGCCCGUCAAGUCAUGAAAGUCGGUAACACCCGAAGCCGGUGGCCUAACCCUUGUGGAGGGAGCCGUCGAAGGUGGGAUCGGUGAUUAGGAGUAAGUCGUAACAAGGUAGCCG
rnacentral:rRNA from 1 species